UACCUCACAUCAGAUUUAUCAUGCAAGUUUCUUUAAAGCCUGCAAGAAGCAACGAGCUGUCAAGGAAGCAUUUCGCUUUACCAAGUUGAUUCUAAAUCCAACCUUAAGCACAUUCAAUAUGUUAAUGUCUGUCUGCGCAAGCUCCCAGGACAUAGAAGGAGCUCGACGAGUUUUGCGUCUGGUACAAGAGAGCGGUAUGACUGCUGAUUGCAAACUUUACACAACUUUAAUAUCAAGUUGUGCUAAAAGCGGAAAAGUUGAUGCAAUGUUCGAGGUGUUCCACCA